rnacentral:tRNA from 1 species
GCCCGGGUGGUGAAAUUGGUAGACGCAGCGGACUUAAAAUCCGCCGACUUAACGGUCGUACGGGUUCAAGUCCCGUCCUGGGCACCA